rnacentral:rRNA from 1 species
GACGAACGCUGGCGGCGCGCUUAACACAUGCAAGUCGAACGGAAAGGCCUGCUUUCCCUUGUGGAUUGCGGGUACUCGAGUGGCGAACGGGUGAGUAACACGUGAGUGAUCUGCCCCCAACUUGGGUAUAAGCCUGGGAAACUGGGUCUAAUUCCCGAUAGGACUGCAGGGUGGUGCCUGUGGUGGAAAACGAUUUUCUAGUGGUUGGGGAUGAGCUCGCGGCCUAUCAGCUUGUUGGUGGGGUAAUGGCCUACCAAGGCGGCGACGGGUAGCCGGCCUGAGAGGGUGGACAGCCACAUUGGGCCUGAGAUACGGCCCCGACUCCUACGGGAGGCAGCAGUGGGGAAUAUUGACCGAUGGGCGGAAGCCUGAAGCAGCGACGCCGCGUGGGGGAUGACGGCCUUCGGGUUGUAAACUCCUUUCGACCGCGAGGAAGCCACCUGGUUGGAAGGGUGGUGACGGUAGUGGUAGAAGAAGCACCGGCUAACUACGUG